rnacentral:misc_RNA from 1 species
UCUCCGUUGGUGAACCAGCGGAGGGAUCAUUACAGGAUGCGCAAGACUUCUACAACCCUGUGAACUUAACUAUAACCACGUUGCUUCGGCGGGUGUCUCGGAGGCGGUUCCCCCUCCCCUAGACGCUAAACCCGCCGGCAGCCUACCAUACUCUGAAUCUUUGCGUUGGAAUCUCGAGUACAAUCAAACAAGUAAAAAUUUUCAACAACGGAUCUCUUGGUUCUG